GUUGGGGAUUUAGCUCAGUGGUAGAGCUUUUGCUUAGCAAGCAAAAGGCCCCGAGUUCAAUCCUCAGCUCCAAAACA